UGAUGACGCAAAAAACUAAAAUUGUAACAAUUAAGAUGAUCAAAGUCACACCAAAGGCUGAAAACACAUCUGAUUGUCAAUGAGAGAUGUCACUUGAUGAGGAGAUACAUGAAUAAACAAGUUAUGUGUUAAUUGUUGAAGAUUUACUGGGUUUGAUUGGCGAUUCCAUCAUCUUUUUAUCCAUCAUUCAAGUUGCUCAUCAUAUUCUUUAAAUUUCCAUCUUUCUCUCUGCGGGUCAAUUCAUUUAUAUUUAUCACCAAUUGAAUUUGUAAACAACAUGGAAAUAAAGAUUGAUUUGAUCCUUGAAUUGUCAUCAAA